GUAAUACCCAAGCAUCCACUACUGGACACUGUAAAUGGCAAACUGGACAUCUUCCAUGAGCUGCACUGUCUUCUUGGGCUUUACUGACUGCAAAAAGAGAAGAUAUUCUGCUGAGUGAUGACUGGUUUUUGUCCUGUCAAGUCCUAAGCUUCCACAUCCCCCUGCUCAAAGAAAUGCCAGGGUAGAGCUUGCCUAUCAGGGCGAAGGAACGCUGGUGGGAUGGGCAGCCCCAUGAUGGCACCAGAAACAGCAGUGAGCUAGAUGCAACGUCCCCUCUGAGGAAAAGAAACUUGCAGGGCAAACGCAGUGCAUACAUUUUUCAUGGACAAUCCAAAAGUGUUUACAGUCUGGGAGCAAAUCAGAGCAGAACGUGAGUGGUUGUGCUCCAUUGAUGAAACGACAACCCAAAUGUUGUUCAAACAGAAAAUUGAUUGCAGUUGCUCUCUCUUGUGUUGAAUGCAGACCCUGUGUUGGCUGCAGAAGGACUUUGAGCAUGCAGACCAAGACUAAAUCAUAACCAGAGUCUGUCUGAAAACUUGUCUGCUAGUAAGAACAGCAGCCGAGUUAAGAUGUAUCACAGCAAUGAGCUGCCUCAUUAAAGCUGACUGAACAAUGAGUCUUCACUGCCUGCUUGUGACUGCACAUAACCUUUUCAAAAGCACCCAAAUAUCUUAGGAGCUUGAUUCUCAUUGCAAGUUGGAUAGCUGAAGGUUCCUCCAACCAUUUCUAUUUUCCCGGAUACCUGUCAACUGUUCACACUCAGAGACCUUGGAAAGCUAACCAUCUUUGAAGAUUUUGUAGCCAGCUUUUUGCCUGAAUGGGAAACUGUUGAGUUUCAUCUCAUCCCUGUCGUGGUUAAUUCCAGGACACUGGGAAAGACCCCGAGCUCUAAAUGUUGGAUUAAGAUCUUCACUUCAGCAGCUGAGG